AGAGUUUGAUCCUGGCUCAGGACGAACGCUGGCGGCGUGCCUAAUACAUGCAAGUAGAACGCUGAAGAGAGGAGCUUGCUCUUCUUGGAUGAGUUGCGAACGGGUGAGUAACGCGUAGGUAACCUGCCUUGUAGCGGGGGAUAACUAUUGGAAACGAUAGCUAAUACCGCAUAACAAUGGAUGACACAUGUCAUUUAUUUGAAAGGGGCAAUUGCUCCACUACAAGAUGGACCUGCGUUGUAUUAGCUAGUAGGUGAGGUAACGGCUCACCUAGGCGACGAUACAUAGCCGACCUGAGAGGGUGAUCGGCCACACUGGGACUGAGACACGGCCCAGACUCCUACGGGAGGCAGCAGUAGGGAAUCUUCGGCAAUGGGGGCAACCCUGACCGAGCAACGCCGCGUGAGUGAAGAAGGUUUUCGGAUCGUAAAGCUCUGUUGUAAGUCAAGAACGAGUGUGAGAGUGGAAAGUUCACACUGUGACGGUAGCUUACCAGAAAGGGACGGCUAACUACGUGCCAGCAGCCGCGGUAAUACGUAGGUCCCGAGCGUUGUCCGGAUUUAUUGGGCGUAAAGCGAGCGCAGGCGGUUUGAUAAGUCUGAAGUUAAAGGCUGUGGCUCAACCAUAGUUCGCUUUGGAAACUGUCAAACUUGAGUGCAGAAGGGGAGAGUGGAAUUCCAUGUGUAGCGGUGAAAUGCGUAGAUAUAUGGAGGAACACCGGUGGCGAAAGCGGCUCUCUGGUCUGUAACUGACGCUGAGGCUCGAAAGCGUGGGGAGCAAACAGGAUUAGAUACCCUGGUAGUCCACGCUGUAAACGAUGAAUACUAGGUGUGCGGGGACUGACCCCCUGCGUGCCGCAGUUAACACAAUAAGUAUUCCACCUGGGGAGUACGACCGCAAGGUUGAAACUCAAAGGAAUUGACGGGGGCCCGCACAA
rnacentral:rRNA from 1 species